rnacentral:rRNA from 1 species
UACGUAGGUGGCGAGCGUUGUCCGGAUUUACUGGGCGUAAAGGGAGCGUAGGCGGAUUUUUAAGUGAGAUGUGAAAUACUCGGGCUCAACUUGAGUGCUGCAUUUCAAACUGGAAGUCUAGGGUGCAGGAGAGGAGAAUGGAAUUCCUAGUGUAGCGGUGAAAUGCGUAGAGAUUAGGAAGAACACCAGUGGCGAAGGCGAUUCUCUGGACUGUAACUGACGCUGAGGCUCGAAAGCGUGGGGAGCAAACAGG